CUCCUUUCAGAUCCCUACAAAGUUAAAAGAGGCAUUGAGAAUUGCCAAAGAAUGUAUAGAGAAGAGACUAAUUGAGGAACAGAAACAGGUAAAUUGAUAACGGUUCCUCUUUGCCUUUUAGUGUCCCCAUCCUCUGCCGUGGUUUUUAUAGUGAUUGACCUUUGACUGUUCCCUCUGCAAAUAUUUUAAGCAUACUUACUCUCAGCCAGCCUUUAGGCUAAAUGCUUCCCUGCAGAGCUGAAUACUUGACAGUCCUGCCCUCAGUCCUGCCUAGUCUAUGUGGGAAACAAACAUGUCCAGGAAGGGCAGUCUGGGUUUCUGAUCAGAGCAUGCCGGCCGGUGAUAGUUGCGGGCAUGCAUGGUCCAUGCCUGGAGUGCAGUGGCGCGAUCUCGGCUCACUGCAAGCUCUACCUCCUGGGUUCACGCCAUUCUCCUGCCUUAGUGAAUUCUUUCUGAAAGGUUUUCAAUUUACAAGAUCCAUCAGAGGAAUCACUAUAGCCUUAUGAAGUGCAUUUCUUCUUCUUUUUUUUUUUUUUUUUGAGUCUCAUUCUGUCACCCUGGCUGGAGUGAAAACAACAUGUUAAUCUUUUUGUACGUCUUACAGAUCUCCUUGGGUGAUCAUGUGCACUGUCGAUAAGCACUAAUCUUUUGAAAGGGAUCUUUUUUCUGAGCAGUAGUUCUCAACAGUAGGCUUAAGAUAUUCAGUAAACCUUACAUUUCCACUGGCAGAACAGGCAUCCCACUUCUACCACUCAUUAGCUGUGUGACUUUGAGCUUAUUGCUUGUGACUAUUAUGGGAAUAAUAGUAGUGCUCAUCUCAUAGGGCUGUGAUGAGGGCUCAGUGAGUUAAUGUUUGUAAAGCUGCUCACUCGGUGUCUGCCACAUAGUAAGUG
rnacentral:lncRNA from 1 species